AGAGUUUGAUUAUGGCUCAGGACGAACGCUGGCGGCGUGCUUCAUACAUGCAAGUCGAACGCGAAUCGGUAGCUUGCUACCGAGGAAAGUGGCGGACGGGUGAGUAAUGUGUAGAGAAUCUGCCCUAGAGCGGGGGACAACAGCUGGAAACGGUUGCUAAUACCCCAUAUGAGCGUAUCUGAAAUGGUAUUCUUGAAAACUCCGGUGCUCUAGGAUGAGUCUGCAUCUGAUUAGCUAGUUGGGGGUGUAAUGGACCACCAAGGCGACGAUCAGUAGCUGGUUUGAGAGGAUGAUCAGCCACAAUGGGACUGAGACACGGCCCAU
rnacentral:rRNA from 1 species